AUAAUAAUAAUAAUAAUUUGGAAAAUUUGAAGUGAAGAAAGUAAAAUGAAAAAGGAAGAAGACUAGCAAUGCAUAGUGAAGUGAUUGAAGUUGAAGGUCAAGACGAACGUGCCACUCGGUUUUGAAGUCCAACGGUAAUGAAAUAUGAAUUUGUUGUUUUAAUUGGAAAUUAGUCAAUUUGCUUCUUUGUUUCCUGUCGGAAGGCUGUGAGGACCACCUUUUACAUCAACUUCCAACUACCCACCCUUCCUUCAAUUAAUCUCCAAUCCCCGCUAGAGCUUAUGUAGUCCCUACAACAGCAUUUUACACCCCUGAUCCCAACAACAUUGUGAUUUGGGCAUAAACAAUUCAAAACUGCUUUUAUUAAACAUCAAAGAUUCUUCAAAGCCCUUCUUACUAAGGCAUGUCCAAGCUUGUAUUCUAACUUAAAAUAGAGAGACGCAUUAAAAUUUUAAGAUAAAAAAAAAGAUUUAUAAUCCAAAAUAAUAAAAUCAAAUUUUAACUUCAUUCGAAGCAGGAUAGUUAAUUUAUAUGUGGAUUUUAUAGACCAAUAAUUACAAACUAAACUCACCCGAAUUUUGUAGCAAGACACCUAAAAAUUAAAGUCUGUAAAUUUUAUCAAUUGACCAAAAUUUCAAGACCUGAUCUCAUCAAACACUAAAACCACUUGUUGACCUUUUAUAUUUGUCUCCUAUCCAUAUGCUUUCCAAAUCUACAAUAAUUAUUCAAGAUCCCUUUACUUUGCAUAAGAGGGAGGAAAUUAGCAACUCAUAUUGACUAGCCUACCUUGGUUUGAUGGUUAAAAGGCAUAUCACUCACUUAAUAGAUCAAAUUUGAGCACGCACUCUCCACUCUCUUAAUCCACCUCUAUGUCUCCUCUAAGCUGAGCCCAUCAUCAUGCUCAACUGUAUCUGGAAAAAACUCUUCAUUUGGAUACAUCUUC
rnacentral:misc_RNA from 1 species